GUUUUGUGUGUGGAGCAGUAAACAUGCAAAACACUCUCCACUCAACAGACUCCUGAAAACACAUUCACUUUCCUCCUGGAUUUACUUAAUGUGAUAAAACAAUCAAACGGGCACUUUUGCAGGAUUGUAUUGUUGUCUGCUGCUCUUCAGAUAUUCUGGAGGUUUUUGUACACUGAAUAAAUGAGAAUCAUUGAGGAGCUAAACCGAGAGCUGGAAUGCAGGAGGUUUUUGUACAGCCGCUGAUUGGGUUUGUAUCACUGUGGCGCACAUUCGGUGGAGGAACUCGACUCUCAGUUGGAACUGCCACUCGUCCCACUCUCACGGUCCUGCCGCCCUCCAGAGACGAGCUGCAGCAGGGUAAGGCUACAGUGGUGUGUGUGGGCAGUAAGGGAUUCCCCUCUGACUGGAAGCUGAGCUGGAAGGUGGAUUGCAGCAGCAGGAGCUCUGCUGUGAAUCUGAGUCCCAGUGUGCUGCAGAAGGAUGGACUGUACAGCUGGAGCAGCAGCCUGAGCCUCACUGAGAGUGAGUGGAGGAGAGCAACAACCAUCAGCUGUGACGCCACACACCCAUCCCAGAAUGCAGUGACCGAGAGCCUGAACACACAGCAGUGUGAUGACCAGUGAAACACACACACACAUCACACAUAGAUUAUAGGCAUGCAUAUUUCAUUUACACUCACACAUACACACACAAACUAUUACAAAGGACUGUUCUAAAUCAGUCAAAAAUGAAUCUUUCGUUCUGUUAGUAUAUUGUUCAAAUAUUCUUAUCUGUUGUAACAGCAAUGAUGUGUUUGUUGUUUUAUUGCUGCCAAAUAAAAGCAUUUUGACUCAAA